rnacentral:rRNA from 1 species
UACGAAGGGGACUAGCGUUGUUCGGAAUUACUGGGCGUAAAGCGCACGUAGGCGGAUUUGUAAGUCAGGGGUGAAAUCCCGGGGCUCAACCUCGGAACUGCCUUUGAUACUGCAAAUCUCGAGUCCGAUAGAGGUGGGUGGAAUUCCUAGUGUAGAGGUGAAAUUCGUAGAUAUUGGGAAGAACACCGGUGGCGAAGGCGGCUCUCUGGACCGAGACUGACGCUGAGGCGCGAAAGCGUGGGGAGCAAACAGG